GAUGAACGCUGGCGGCGUGCCUAAUACAUGCAAGUCGAGCGAACGGACGAGAAGCUUGCUUCUCUGAUGUUAGCGGCGGACGGGUGAGUAACACGUGGAUAACCUACCUAUAAGACUGGGAUAACUUCGGGAAACCGUAGCUAAUACCGGAUAAUAUUUUGAACCGCAUGGUUCAAAAGUGAAAGCCGGUCUUGCUGUCACUUAUAGAUGGAUCCGCACUGCAUUAGCUAGUUGGUAAGGUAACGGCUUACCAAGGCAACGAUGCAUAGCCGACCUGAGAGGGUGAUCGGCCACACUGGAACUGAGACACGGUCCAGACUCCUACGGGAGGCAGCAGUAGGGAAUCUUCCGCAAUGGGCGAAAGCCUGACGGAGCAACGCCGCGUGAGUGAUGAAGGUCUUCGGAUCGUAAAACUCUGUUAUUAGGGAAGAACAUAUGUGUAAGUAACUGUGCACAUCUUGACGGUACCUAAUCAGAAAGCCACGGCUAACUACGUG
rnacentral:rRNA from 1 species